GACGAACGCUGGCGGCGUGCCUAAUACAUGCAAGUUGAGCGCUGAAGGUUGGUACUUGUACCAACUGGAUGAGCAGCGAACGGGUGAGUAACGCGUGGGGAAUCUGCCUUUGAGCGGGGGACAACAUUUGGAAACGAAUGCUAAUACCGCAUAAAAACUUUAAACACAAGUUUUAAGUUUGAAAGAUGCAAUUGCAUCACUCAAAGAUGAUCCCGCGUUGUAUUAGCUAGUUGGUGAGGUAAAGGCUCACCAAGGCGAUGAUACAUAGCCGACCUGAGAGGGUGAUCGGCCACAUUGGGACUGGGACACGGCCCAAACUCCUACGGGAGGCAGCAGUAGGGAAUCUUCGGCAAUAGACGAAAGUCUGACCGAGCAACGCCGCGUGAGUGAAGAAGGUUUUCGGGUCGUAAAACUCUGUUGGUAGAGAAGAACGUUGGUGAGAGUGGAAAGCUCAUCAAGUGACGGUAACUACCCAGAAAGGGACGGCUAACUACGUG
rnacentral:rRNA from 1 species